rnacentral:rRNA from 1 species
AAUCCGGGUUGCGGACAGUGUCUGGUGGGUAGUUUGACUGGGGCGGUCUCCUCCCAAAGAGUAACGGAGGAGCACGAAGGUUAGCUAAUCCUGGUCGGACAUCAGGAGGUUAGUGCAAUGGCAUAAGCUAGCUUGACUGCGAGAGUGACGGCUCGAGCAGGUGCGAAAGCAGGUCAUAGUGAUCCGGUGGUUCUGAAUGGAAGGGCCAUCGCUCAACGGAUAAAAGGUACUCCGGGGAUAACAGGCUGAUACCGCCCAAGAGUUCAUAUCGACGGCGGUGUUUGGCACCUCGAUGUCGGCUCAUCACAUCCUGGGGCUGAAGUAGGUCCCAAGGGUAUGGCUGUUCGCCAUUUAAAGUGGUACGCGAGCUGGGUUUAGAACGUCGUGAGAC